GGGGGAGGGAAGAGGAAAGGGCUAGCUAGUCCUGAUUUGGUGCAACCUAGCAGAUUUGCCGUUUGAGGGAAGAUGUUGGGAGCAUCAGCUCAGGAGUAGCUGUAUUAGAGGAAGCUGUUACUUCUAACAGCCCCCCUAGUACGGGUGGGGAUCAAAAUGUAAGGAAGACAAGACAGGUUGUGGUGGUAGGGGACUCUAUCAUUAGGAGAGCAGAUAGGGCAAUCUGCCGCUCUGAUCGGCUCAACCGGACAGUUUGCUGUCUCCCGGGUGCUCGGGUCCGGCAUGUUGCUGACAGAGUGGAUGGAUUAUUGGGAGGGGCUGGGGAUGG